AGAGUUUGAUCAUGGCUCAGAACGAACGCUGGCGGAGUGCUUAAGACAUGCAAGUCGAACGAGAAAGUCGCCUUCGGGUGACGAGUAAAGUGGCGCACGGGUGAGUAACGCGUGGACAAUCUGCCCUUUGGUUUGGGAUAACCCCGGGAAACUGGAGCUAAUACCGAAUAAGCCCACGCCGUCUUCGGACGAAGUGGGAAAAGAUGGCCUCUCCUUGGAAGCUGUCGCCAAUUGAUGAGUCCGCGUACCAUUAGCUAGUUGGUGAGGUAACGGCCCACCAAGGCUACGAUGGUUAGCUGGUCUGAGAGGAUGAUCAGCCACACUGGAACUGAGACACGGUCCAGACUCCUACGGGAGGCAGCAGUCGGGAAUCUUGGGCGAUGGGGGAAACCCUGACCCAGCAACUCCGCGUGAGGGAUGAAGGCCUUCGGGUCGUAAACCUCUGUCGGGAGGGAAGAAAGCCUCGUCGUGAAUAUCUUCGAGGUUUGACGGUACCUCCAAAGGAAGCACCGGCUAACUCUGUGCCAGCAGCCGCGGUAAUACAGAGGGUGCAAGCGUUAAUCGGAAUUACUGGGCGUAAAGCGCGCGUGGCGGCUUGGUCAGUCGGAUGUGAAAGCCCCGGGCUCAACCUGGGAAUUGCAUUCGAUACUGCCAGGCUAGAAUGUAGUAGAGGGUAGUGGAAUUCCGGG
rnacentral:rRNA from 1 species